ACGGGUUUUACGAAACUCGACCCCUAAAGGGGUAAAACGGGGGUUGCAAGUUUGUAUGAAAGUCCUAUGUUUUUGAAGUAAGAGACUUGAAAUUUAAAAUGUAUGCUCUAUAGAUGAUGAGAAGGUGUGUAAAUAAUGUAUCUUUAGAAAACAACUCCCUUUUUGGGGUUAAAACGGGGGAUGGUAGGUUGACUCACUCAUCACGAAAUCUCCGAAACUAUAAUAGCCACAAACUUGAAAUUUGGCAGGUAGGCUCCUUAUAAGACGUAAAUAUCCGUUAAGAACGGAUUUUAUGAAACUCGAUCCCUAAAGGGGUAAAACGGGGGUUGGAAGUUUAUAUGAAAGUCCUAUGUUUU
rnacentral:misc_RNA from 1 species